GAUAAACGCUGGCGGCGUGCUUAACACAUGCAAGUCGAACGAAGUUUUUCUUUCGGGAGGAACUUAGUGGCGGACGGGUGAGUAACGCGUGGGUAACCUGCCCUGUACAGGGGGACAACAGCUGGAAACGGCUGCUAAUACCGCAUAAGCCCUCAGCACUGCAUGGGGCAUAGGGAAAAGGAGCAAUCCGGUACAGGAUGGACCCGCGUCUGCUUAGCCAGUUGGCAGGGUAACGGCCUACCAAAGCGACGAUCAGUAGCCGAUCUGAGAGGAUGUACGGCCACAUUGGGACUGAGACACGGCCCAGACUCCUACGGGAGGCAGCAGUGGGGAAUAUUGCACAAUGGAGGAAACUCUGAUGCAGCGACGCCGCGUGAGUGAAGAAGUAUUUCGGUAUGUAAAGCUCUAUCAGCAGGAAAGAAAAUGACGGUACCUGACUAAGAAGCACCGGCUAAAUACGUG
rnacentral:rRNA from 1 species